AUUGAACGCUGGCGGCAUGCUUUACACAUGCAAGUCGAACGGUAACAGGCCGCAAGGUGCUGACGAGUGGCGAACGGGUGAGUAAUGCAUCGGAACGUGCCCAGUCGUGGGGGAUAACGCAGAGAAAGCUGUGCUAAUACCGCAUACGAUCUAUGGAUGAAAGCGGGGGACCGUAAGGCCUCGCGCGAGUGGAGCGGCCGAUGUCAGAUUUGGUAGUUGGUGGGGUAAAGGCCUACGAAGCCGACGAUCUGUAGCUGGUCUGAGAGGACGACCAGCCACGCUGGGACUGAGACACGGCCCAGACUCCUACGGGAGGCAGCAGUGGGGAAUUUUGGACAAUGGGCGCAAGCCUGAUCCAGCAAUGCCGCGUGCAGGAAGAAGGCCUUCGGGUUGUAAACUGCUUUUGUACGGAACGAAACGGUCUGGGUUAAUACCCUGGGCUAAUGACGGUACCGUAAGAAUAAGCACCGGCUAACUACGUGCCAGCCGCCGCAGUAAGAC
rnacentral:rRNA from 1 species